ensembl:lncRNA
UGGAUUUUUGAAUGGCACGUCAGGCAGAUUUUCUAAGUACACACUCCUGGGCCUGGUUCAUGUUCCUGAGCGCAGAGUGGGUCAGAAGGAGCAGUCGAUAGCUCCAUGGCGUCUGUCUGCCUACAGUUGGACAUGCAUCCCCCGCUUGCAAGUGCCUUCUUCAGGCGCAUCCCCGCUCCUACUACCUUUUCUUUUCUGAGGGAACUGCAUGCAUGUUGGAGGGACACCAGAGCUCUGUCCUGUCAUAUGUCGGAUGAACCAGUCCUAGUGGCUAUGCAGGAUGUGGCAAAAUGCGGCCUUGCCCAUAUGCCAUCCAACUAUUGCAUCCCUCAUAGUUUUCAGCGGACUAUUGAUGCUAGCCAGAGCAGGCAACAAUUCUGACCUUUACAGGCCCGCACUCCCUUACUUACUUAGGGUUCCAGCUUUCGCUCGCAUAGGCCAUUCUCAGCCUGCAGCUCGCCCAAGUAGCUGCUACAGGCCGGGGCAUCCCGGUGGUCGGUCUUCUCUCCCAGCAGCACAUCAGCUACUAGACAACAUUACCAAGGAGUUAGCCGCACUUCUGGCCAAGGCUGCUAUCGAGAUGGUGGACCCCCUGUCACAAUGCGGGGGCUUCUACUAAAACUAACUUUCUUGUAAACAAGAAGGUGUUACCAUUUCACAUGUUGAGCACAGCAGAUUGCCAAAGGAGAGUGUCUCGCGUCUGUCGACCUGAAGGAUUCCUAUUUCCACAUUCCCAUUUGGCCUCGCCACCAGCAGUUUCUUUGUUUCGCCUUUCAAGGGCCUCACUAGGGUCGGUGCCAUUCGGACUCUCCUUCUCUCCACGAGUGUUUACAAGGUAUGUGGCCGAUGAAAUUCUGAUUCUGACUUGGGCUGCCUGUCGCCUGAUCAGCCUUCAGGCGAUGUACCUCCCCGGGUCAGGAACCAGGUAGCAGAUUUCCUGUCCCGUCAAAGUCCUCCCUCUGGGGGAGUGGCAGUUUCAUCAGGACAUCGUACUAAAGAUAUGGGAUCUCUUCGGCAGGGGAGAAGUAGAUUUAUAUGCUUCACUACACCUACUGGUUCUCCCUGAUGGAGUGUAGCAGUCCUCUGGGUCAGGAUGCUCUUGCUCACAUGUGGCCAGAAGAGCUUCUUUACUCCUUUCCACCAUUUUUCUCUGAUACUGCCAAUGCUCCUCAGAGUUCUCCAACAGGGCCACAGACUCUUGCUGGUGGCCCCUCUGUGGCCAGACAGGACUUUUCACUACUACGCAGGCUUUGCAGCAGUCACCCUGGCGCCGCCCCGACAGAAGGGACCUCCUUUCACAACUAGUAGGUCGGAUCUGGCAUCCCGAUCCCAGCCGCCUUCAACUGUGGGCCUGGCCACUGGAGGGCCCGACCACCCUCUGACUGACUGCACAGAACCGCCAGAAGGAAACAGUAAUCCUAAAGCUUGACAUCUGUUCCACAACUGAUAAAUUCCAUUACAAAAUCAUGCAGAUUCACCAAAACAUCUUACAGCUCAGAAUCCAGGGGGGUCUCCAAAGGGACAAAGUGGGCAGACCCAAAUCCGGCCUCAGCGACGGUGAGGACCACCUCAUCAAGAAGAAGGGAGUGACUGUUCAGAUAAUCCCUGCUGAUCAGUAAAAUCUCCUCCGGAUGAAAUAUUAAGUGGAGAUUGGAGACGGCUAAUAUAUUCUACCAUCAGUUAUCCAAUAUGUAUGAAACCUCAAGCCCAACUGCCACAAAGAACACUGCUUAUGAUAAAGUGAAUGUAGCCCAGACUUUAUCUAACGGGGUCAAGUAUAUCUGUGCAGAAAAGACAUCAUACUAUCUGGAGAUUUAUGCCUAAACAUAAAUGAUUUCUACUACUUUUGUUUCAAACAAGUAGAUUGAUUUAUAUGACUCUCUUUUUGUAUUAAAACUAUUCCCUCAUAUUACAAUUUUGUUGGUGCUCAAAAACUAUUAAACAAUGUUUAAUCCUUGCAUUAGUCUAUGAAGCAGAGCCUGAUGUCGGAGCUGGAAAAUGCUACACUGUGAUUAGCCAGUCUGUGUUCCAAGACGGGACAGGACUCCCUCAUUAUGCAUUAAUUUACAGAAUUAAAUUAAUGUUAACAUUUCUAGGGUUUUAGCAUAUAUAGAUACAUGUUUAAUGUUAUUUAUUUAUCACAAGUUCCAUAGUUAACAAAGAGUCAAUUUUGACGGUAUGUUUUAUUCAAUUUUGAGAGGAGGCUAAAGUUGUGGAGACCUUUUCUGCUCUGUGGGACCAAAGUGGAGGUGUCUGAACGGAUGGAGGAAUGCUGCGAGGGAAGCAGCACUGCGGCUUUCCACUUUACAGGCUCAGACGACUCUGGCUCUAUUCACAGCUCCAACACUUAUCUUCCAUGAGCAGGUGUGUGUGUGCAAGAAAGCAUGGAUUGAGCACUGACUUGUUUUUCUCAGAAUUUAGAUGGGUGCAUUUGCAACUGUGGAUUUGUGCGUGCGUGUGUCCGCGUGCGUGUAUGAUGAAUGUAUGGGUAAGUCAUGUGUGCAUUUUCAUCACCGUUGCACGUUUAUGUACGGGUAUGUACAUUCUACAUAAUGGUUAUUUGGAUGUGGUGGGUGUGUUAUAUAGCUUUAAUUGUGUGUAUGCAGAUAUGAAUUGUAUGCAGAAUAGAUUGGGCUGAAUUGCUGGGAGGCUGACUGUGUUCUUAUCCCAGUGGAAGAGGAGGAAAAUGAGGCAAAAACAACAGCAACAUUUGGAAUGAGACAAUUUUUCCAAAAAAAACACCUUCCGAAACGUUUAGUUUUUUUCCCCGGAAAGAAACUCAAUUGUAAUAGCACUUACAAUUUUCCUCAGUGGACAAUGCGGCACUGUGUUGGCAAAGUGAAGACAAUAUGAAUAAAAAACAUCUGGGGGCUCCUUCACAGCCGAGCGAUGUGGAAUUCAGGAGAUUCUCUGCAACAACUGACAUCACAUAGAGAGAUUGUCUGCGGUUCUUACUCCCACUGCUCAUAGAAACUCCAAAAAGGUUGUCAUGUAUUAUUCUCAUUAUUACAACCCCACCAAUGUGUUGUUUUCUGUUUGAAGUAAACCUGAUUGUAGCCGUGGAUAACAGAGAAAGACCCAGUGGAGGUGAACAAAUGGCUAAACAUCGCCUAUACUUAUUUGAUAUCAACGCUCCCAAGCUGCUCAUUACUAAACAAUUUUGUUUUGGUUACUUGAAAUUCCUCCCACAAUGCUUGGGAAUUUGUGCCUAUAGACAGUACUUUACUUUGUAUCUGCAAGGGAUCUUCUCCUCUCUUGAGAUUUAUUCACGGCAGAACUAUGUCUUUUCCACCAUUUCGUAACUUUGUGUUUUUUUCUGCAAAUCAAUUCGGUUUCAAAGCUAAUUUUGGCCUCAUUACUGAGAGAAAAUACUGAGUGAGUGUGAUGAUGUGGCAUCAAACACAUGACUUUUACCAAGGAGAUUGCACACUAUGAAAUACAACCUACUGAAUCUACUCAAUAAAUGUGAGGUAAGAAUUUGCAGAAACAGUAGCGGCUGGUGGAUUUGUUUUUUGGUAGGUCCAGCUUCAGUUUCAGUAAAAAUCCCAGUACACGCAUUAUUACUUUGCAGUUAAAUAUUUAACAUUAUACGGACAUCUUAUUCAAACAAUAUAUAUUAUAUAAUAUACAAACAGUAUAUCAAUGAAAUAUGGUAGUUAUAUAUCCAUCCAUCUGCAAACUGCUUAUCCUGCACACAGGGGAGCUGGAGUCUAUCCCAGCGCACACCCUGGACUGGUCGCCAGCCAAUCGCAGGGCUACACUGAGACAUACAAUCAUUCACACACCGGGGAGAACCGGUGUGUGAAUAGAUGUGUAUAUAUAUAUACGUAUAUAUAAAUAUAUAUAUACACACACACACAUACGUAUAUACGUAUAUAUAUAUACAUAUAUAGUAUAUGUAUAUACGUAUAUAUACGUGUCCGGCCGUUUCAGUUUGCACCGAGAAUCUCUCCAUCACCCGACUGUCCCUGCCUUGGUCUCUGAGGUUCUUCAGGUGUGGCCCUUGAAAUCAGGGACAGGAGAUGUCGUGUAGCCUCUGUGGCUUCACGUGCAUCAUACUAUAAAGGGAUUUUAAAUGUAUGGACAUGGUAAAAUGACACUGUGUACUGCACAAGCUGUAUUGGAAGAAAUUAAGCUAUUAUCUGAGGUGGUGUUGGUGAUCGUAUCAAUGUAAUGUUUGAGUGUAAUCAUUUAAUCAAAAAGAACAAGAAAAUGAUUAAUAACUUUUGCCUCACCUUCCCUACAAGAUACCACUAACUAAGCUAACAUAUCAAUGUAGUUAGUAGCGAGUACGCCUUGGAGACACAACAUGAGCCCACAUGAAAGUGGUUUUCAUGUCAACACAGCAGCCCUCAAUGUCGUUCUUUAAUAAAACACUCCGCGACACUGAUGCUACGUUCACACCGAACGCAAUGCAAAUGUGUUGCGUCGCCUCAAACGUGCCGCGGGACUCUCGGAGUACAUUUGGUGGUCAAUUUGCGUGUAUCGCAUAUUUGUGCCGACGCGACGGAGAGGGGGCGUGGCCUAUCACCCUGAAACAGAUCAACUUUCCACGAUAGCUUUUCCCUCGCAUCAACCUUUACUUGUACUUGUCAUAGCAACUCUUUACUUUUUGUGAAAGAUCUACUCGCGUCGCACCGCCAAACGGUUUUGUGUUUUUGUACUAAACAGCAUCCGUAGGAGCAGACGGCUCGGUGAAUUUCUACAGGAACUGCGUCUGGAUGACUGCCGCUUCCAGCAGUACAUGGCGCCAGCAGUUAGCUCGUUGGCUCUGAUCGGUCACCGGACUUCAAAUCCUUCACAUCAUACUUCCAUGCCGACGGAACUGUCCGAUGGAGAGACAUUGUAUGCUCAAGCACAACCAAAGGGCUCUAUUAAGAGCAGUGGCGUUUUAUUGCAGAGGCCAAGGGAAGUCAGGCUUCCUCACUUCUUUCAGAAUAUAACUGAUUUAAUCAUCAUUAAUGAUUAGUCAUUGUCGAAAUGAGUGAGGAGUCCGUACUUUGAAUCCAAGCCGUUGGUUUAUUGGACAAACUUAUAACUCGCAUAGAGUCGUGUUUCUACCUGCUACACCAUGCUACUCGGCGGGGAGAUGCGCAUACCCCGACUUCACCACACACGCACACCUUUCGAGGACGGUGUCCCGCAGCGUACACACAGAACACGAACAUAAACAUUCAACAGAAUGAUCUACAUCCCUUUUCUUUAGUUCGUGCCUUUCAUGGAGAACAAUGGAAGGCCGGGCAUUAACUCACAAGAUAAUAACAUGGCUAUAGUUGUUUUAACCUUACAACAUUGUUAUAUAGCAUAGAAAUUAGCAGCAGUUUCAAACAACCAUCUUUAAGUAAACUUGAACAGUAAGUAACCAACUUGUACAUUCAUACUGCAAGGCAGUCCAACAUACAUUGCACUUCAACUAGACAUACAAAGUCCCAUAGAGUCCAGUGCGGAUUCAGCUCCCCUUAAUUUCGUUUUCUUUCUCUUUUUUUUACACAGCUUAUAGUAGCUCAAUGUUUAUUGUUCAUACUUUGGGUUCGGCCUGCAAAUGCGACCUGAGCGCGUCAUAUACAGUGAGUUACCCAGCGUGGCCUCGGUAGGAGAGUGAGCUGCAGGCCUCCGCUGCUCGCUAGUUGGUCGCUGAGGUUUUGCGUGAAUUAGUUGAGGUGUUUGCGGCGUGGAGGGGGGACCGUCCGGUGCAGCUGAAGCGGCACAUUGACGAUCAAAGUCCGCAGCACCUUCCCCCGCUGAUUCCCCCGCUGAUGGCUCAGCGACAGGAAGGAUAUGACGGCGAUUUCUCCUGUAGGUCCCUCCAUCGGACUCGAUGAUGUAGGAGCGCGGCUUCUUGCACCUUUCCUUCACAGUGCCCAGACGGUCAUGUCCCUUGUCGGUCUGAAUCCUGACAACCCGUCCCUCCGCGAGCGGCUGUAGCAGGCGGCUGGACGAAUCAUAGUAUCGCUUUUGGGAGAGUCUUUUACUCCGGAGAUGGGCAGUGACCUGCUUUGUGAUUUUUGGGGCUGGCUCUAACAGUCUGGUGCUGACAGGAAGAGCUGAGCGCGUCUGUCGUGACAUCAGACGUUCUGCAGGUGAGCCCAAGGCUUGGUCACGGGGAAUAUUUCUGAUGUUCAGCCGAUUGAGGAAGACGUCGGUCCCAUCUCUGUGAAAUUUCUGUGAGAUUUCGUACAGUCUUUUGACUGUACUCCUGGUUCUGCGCUUGGUUGACUCCAAACCUGGGUGACCUCGGUGUAUGAUGUUAAUGUAUUCUCGUUGAAGAGAACUUGGAAUCACAGUUCUGUGGCCCUUGAUAACUAUCCCCUCCUCCACUACCAACUGGUCUCUGUGAGGGAAGAAUGGACGAAUGGAAGGGUGGACGCUGCGUUCUUUGCCAGGCCAUCCGCGGUGGAUGACUGUGCUAAGAGUCUGUAGCACUUGGUCCCGUGCCGUGUGGGUCCGCAGCUCCUGUUGGUCUGUUGGUUGAGAUGUAGCUAACAGACAUCACCUCAAAUGUGUGGUCUGCAGCUGGACUUUGUGAGAUGGUUUUGUUCAGAGCUCGUGAUAGGGUAUCAGCUAGGUACAUGUGCUUACCCUUCUUAUAGACCAGUGUGAUGUCAUACGCCUGUAACUGUAGUAACAUCCUUUGCACUCGGGCAGGAGCAGUGUGGAUGGGCUGCUUCAGGAUUGCGACAAGGGGUUGGUGGUCAGUUUCAACCACUGUGGGCUUCCCAUACACAUAAUCCUUGAAUUUGAUGCACGCAAACACCACUGCCAACAGCUCCUUUUCAAUUUGAGCGUAUCGUGUUUCUGUGUCUGUGAGCGUGCGAGACGCGUAGGCAACUGGUCUCCCAUCCUGUAGACAUGCAGCACCGAGUCCGUAACAUGAUGCAUCACAGGUCAGUGUGACUGGUUUUCUUACGUUGUAGUGGGACAGAAUUGGUGAACUGGAUAAGCAUGAUUUGAGACGGUCAAACGCCUGCUGAUGCUGUGGAGACCAACACCACACAGCGUCUUUGUGUGUGAGCUGUCUCAGGAAUGGAAUCUGUAGCAUCCGAACGGCGUACUGAAUGUGGUCAGCAUUGAUGACUGGUCGAGCUGUAUUUUCCAGAAUGAGCUCUUCGCAUCUAGAACAGAGAACACUGUAGCACCUGACAUCUCGGUAGCAACUUCCUCGACGCUGUGAAUUGGAUAGUGAGGUCUCUUUAGUGUGUUGAGGUCCCUUGGAUUGAUGCACAGCCGGAUUUCCUGUUUGUCCUUUUUGUGUGCUGCAACCAUGGACGAAAUCCAGUCUGUAGGUUCAGCUACUGUGGUUAUGACACCUUUGUUCUGCAUGCUGUUGAGCUCCGCUUUGACCCGCGCUUGCAUUGCCACCGGGAUGCGGUGUGCUGGACGAACUACCGGUUGCACUGCUGGAUCCAGUGUCAUGGAGUAUGUGAUGGGGAGUUUUCCAAGCUCGUCACUGAACACGUCUUUGUAUUGUAAGUGGAUCUGUUCAGUGAAUUCAGCAUUGCUCUCUGUGCUGACCUGAUGAACGUGUGGGCUCAUUGUGACAAUUCCAAAAUGCACACAUGCACGAAAUCCCAAUAGUGGCACUACGUCUCUGUCCACUAUCAAAAAGAGCAGUGUGUGUUGCUGUCCAUCUAGACAACAAGGCAGUCUAGCCAUGCCUACGGUCUCUAUUUUGCUGUCUCUAUAGGCCACUAGAUGUCUUUACUGUGUUCCACUGGUCGCUUGCCAUUAGCCAGCUGUCGGAAAGUGUCUGUUGACAUUACAUUGCACUUUGCACCAGUAUCAACCUUCAUCUCGACUGGGCGGUCGUGUACAUGGAGCGUAACAAAUCCUUCAUCUUGUCCUUCUUUUUGAGGAUUGAUGGUGUCCACUUUGACACCAUCCACAUAGAAAGUGUCACUAGCACUGUCAUCAGGCUCUUGUAGCUCUAGUUGGUGCACCAAUCUUUCGCUGUCCCUUCUCUUUACGUAGCCCUUCUUUUCAUAGCCUUGUCCGUAUGACAUGGACUUGCAGCAUUUUUUGAAGUGGUUGAAUUUCCUGCAGAUAUGGCACUGCUGCCCGAAAGCAGGACAUUUGUCUCUCUGUGCGGCGUGGUUGCCUCCACAGUUAUUGCAGUUUGUAAUGGAUUUUGCAUCACGUUGGCCUGCUUGAGGUUUAAGUCUCGACCUGUUGUGCCAACCAUUGGAGUUUGGGUGGAUUGCGUCAACAGUGGUGGCUGUUUGGGGCUAGGGCCUUAUUACUCUCCUUAGUCAUUUCAUAUAUGCGGCAGAUUGUAAUAGCUUUGUUCAGGGUUAAUUCACUGUUCACAGCAAAGCCUUUCUCAUACAGUCAUUUCUGAUUCCACACACUAUUCUGUCACAAAUCAGUUCAUCUGUCAGGUCUCCAAAGAGACAAAUUUUAGCUUUGAUCCUCACGUGCUUCUGAUUUCGUGAGUGGAACUUGUGUCUCUCCAUAGUUUUGUUUUGUUGAGGGUUGCAUACUUCCCGAAAUUUCCGUUUCAAGCACUCUUGAUUUUCUCUGGAUUCAGCUGGAACGAUGACGGCUCCAUCUUCACCAGGCGCUCUCACUUCUGCUGCGUAAACGAAUGAACGCUCCCGUUAGAUGGCCUCCGCUCCUGCGAGAUUGAGGAGGAUAUAUGCCUUCGUCCUAUUAGUCUUGUCCGAGUGCGCCGCUGCUAUGAAGAUAUCAUAUUCCUGUUCAAAAGUCUGCCAAUUCUCGCCGAUGUUCCCGUCACAAACGAGGGGGUCUGGUCUGAGAAAUCCAUCCGCCAUCCUUUAGCUGAGACGUUAGCUUAAUUGCCCGCUCCGCUGGAGA